rnacentral:lncRNA from 1 species
UUAAUAUUGUGAUAUUAAAGAGACAUGGAACACACAUUACAGUUGUUUCACUAAUAGUGCCGCCGUUAUAUUAACAUCUGCACAUGCGCAAUUCAUUUUUAGUAUGGCUUGUCACUGAUAAGUUCCAUAAUAUAUUAUUGAAAUAUUUGAAUAUAUACUGAGGUUGAACCUACCCCAUGAACUAUUCUGAUCAGCAGCUUUAUUUAUUUGAAUCAUCCUGUAUAUUUAUAUGUAUAUGAAAAAAUGACUACAAAAUCGAAAUAGAUGUUUCUAACCGAAAAGGUCAGGUUCAUGUGAAAGAAGAUUUCCUUGUUCUCUUGUUCUUUUGUUGCUUUUAGAAGAUGUUGACGACUUGUUUUCGAGUUAAGGUCAAGGUUUCGGUCACUUGUGGAAGAAAUAUCGCGUGAAUAAGAGGAUUUUGCGUCGAAAGUUCGCCGAUUGUAAUGCUUGGACAAGCCAAAAACAAAAACCAUUACGGCUCAGAUUCCUUGGGUGAACUGAUAAGGAGGUUGAACAGUCCAAGUUGUAUAAUAAUUUUGUUAUGAAUAUCGUCGGUAUCAAAUCGUUCACGAAUGCAUGGCUGCAUGCUGCUGCCAAGCAGUCUGCCCGGCCAAUGACAAUGACCGGCCUACUAUACGCUUGACCAAACAAACAAUAUGCUACUGCUUUUAUUAUUAACCUUUGUUGUUCUUUAGUUGCCUCUCGUAUAUUUAGUCAGCAACAGUUUGCCAACUUGAUUUUCUAUGGAUACGCAAUGUGGAAAAGUGAAUGAGACUCUGGCCGACAAUCGGAAUCGACGGUUGUUUUAGAAAAGAGGUGGGAGGGAGGAGAAACGAAACAUUCAUAGAGUUGGGUUAUUAUUACAUAUUCAUAGAGCAUAACGUAACUGAGCGCGGACUCCCCGUAAUUCAGUCUUGUUACGUGCGUCGCUUUUACAACCACGAUCUACUAGUAUCGGGUUCGUGGAGGGUACCAAAGGGAAGUGUCCUUAAGGCCCCUUUAUUCAAACGCAAACAAUAGAAAAUCGUUUCGCGUAACAUAGUGGCUGGUUUCUGGUGAUCACAUUUAACAAGUUUUUCCUCAAAUAGUCAUGGUGCUUCGUACGAAAAAUCCUAUGGCGCACUUUGACUAGAAUGAAAAAUGGGAAUCGUACUGCCUCCUUAUGUUAAAUGGUAUGUUCGUUUAAUCGUUAUGUGGUGACAUUUACUUAAGCAAAAUGGACUUUCAAAGCCAUCAGUCGUUUAUCAACGGGCAAUUGUCCUGGAAAUUUAAUCACUUUAUUAAUGCAGAUAGCGGGGUAAGUGUUUUUCUCAUAAGCAAUACACAUGGUUUCACAUACGUAAUUUGUCAGGUUUCGAGAUCAAUGUUUCAAUUUUAAUCCGACGAUGCCAGCAAUUCUUGCAAGGGCUGCAUUUCUACCUGAAGUUUUGUCUGUGUCUGUGACGCUCAUUUAUCUCUCAAUCGAAAAAGCUCUUCUUAACUAGGCUUUAUAAAUGUAUAUUAAACGACACUGUAGUUUUUUUUUAUAAUUUUUUAUCUUAUUUUUUAUUCAACUGGCUAUUCAGAGAAAAUGCCAUAUUGUUGUUUGUCUACUAAAAGUGUUAGUGUCUACUAAAAGAAUUUUAACCAUUUACAAUGGCCCCAUGCUGAGAAACGCUUAAAGAUUUCAACUACUGAACGCAAGUAGUACUUUUAGAUAUAUUUAUCUGCGAAUCAACGAAUAACUAUCUAUAAUAGCACAUAAUUAUUGUUUUGUCGUCACAACUAAAUGUCUAGCCGAUAAAAUUG